CCUACGGGAGGCAGCAGUGAGGAAUAUUGGUCAAUGGGCUUACGCCUGAACCAGCCAAGUCGCGUGAGGGAAGACUGCCCUAUGUGUUGUAACCCUCUUUUGUCAGGGAGCAACGCCGGCUACGUGUCGCCGGACUGAGAGUACCGGAAGAAAACGCAUCGGCUAACUCCGGGCCAGCAACCGCGGUACUACGGAGGAUGCGAGCGUUAUCCGGAUUUAUUGGGUUUAAAGGGUGCGUAGGCGGAAUGCCAAGUCAGCGGUAAAAUCGCGGGGCUCAACCUCGCUCAGCGGUUGAAACUGGCGUUCUGGAGUGGGCGAGAAGUAUGCGGAAUGCGUGGUGUAGCGGUGAAAUGCAUAGAUAUCACGCAGAACUCCGAUUGCGAAGGCAGCAUACCGGCGCCCAACUGACGCUGAAGCACGAAAGCGUGGGUAUCGAACAGGAUUAGAUACCCUUGUAGUC
rnacentral:rRNA from 1 species